rnacentral:sRNA from 12 species
AGUAUUAUCAAUAUUCAUGACAAUCCCGGUGCACAAGGCGGAUACCGCCGCUUCCGGGGUGCAGGCGAACGAGUCGGGACCGGUGACGAUAGCCACUGGUUGAAGCUUUCUUGUCGCGGAAACGCAGCGAGAGAAGACGGGAAUCCGUCAACGGUGCCUGCAGCGCAUCAUGCAGCACCAUUAAAAAGUAUCGUCCUCGCGGCAGCCAUAAUAGACGCCUCCGGUGGAGGAAUAAUCCGUUUGCCCUCAGUGUGGCAGCUGAGGAUACAAACGGAAAUGCCAACCAAGGCUGUUCGUCUUGAACUGCUGGACACAGCAGCUAUAACGCGAGAAACGAGUCGGAGUAGCUCAAUGACGGGUUUUUGAAAAAUCAAAACUAUCUGAAUGGCGGGUGAAACGUGCGGGUACUCAUUCCCGUUUGGGCAUUGCGGGCGUUUGCCAAGGCAAGAAGCAAUCGAAUACGCGGUCGAUUGUUCAGACUUGUCUUCCCAGUGACUGAUUUUAUUAGUGAUGCUGAGUGAGUAGAUGGAAGCCAUUUAAGGCGACAUCUGUGAUGG